CCCUCACGCUCGGCCGCCAUGUUGGCCGUGGCUGUGGCCGGGCCCGGGCCCCGCCGUGUCUCUCGGUUCCUCCGGGCAGGGGGUGACAGGCGUGUUGAGGCCACCUCGGAGCCCCUCGCAGGUACCUCGGUGCCGCAGGAGCGCGUUUUCCCUGUCAGCAACCCUCCAAAGACUCGCCGAUUACAUUGCUCUUGCCUCCGGAAGCUGAGACAUUCUACUGAUUUUUUUUUCCUUGUCUAAGACUCCGUCGCCCUUUCCUGGAGAAGGAUGAUCUUGGUGGAAGGAGCCCAGCUUGGUGUGGUCCUCAUUCCUGCUGUUAUGUGUGAAGAGAGAUGGAGAGAAAUACAUCCAGAAGCCCAGAGAUGGUCAUGGAACACGGGCAACAUGUCCAAAGUAAUCCCAUCUGCAGGAGCCUACAAGAAGCCAUUCUUCCUCCUGGAGCCUAAAAAGGAGAACGAUUUCCUUUACCAGCAGUCUCAUGGCUCCAGGCAGGUGAAAAUGCCCUCGGCCUGGAACCGGAUCCUCCUCUCCGAGAGUGGAUGUUUGGAGAAGGGGUUUGCUCCCAUCCCUGUGACUUCCCAGCUGCCUGGAUGCAGGAGCAGCACUGCUGGGCUGCCUCAGGCCCCCUGCAGGUGGGGAAGGAUGAAGAACCGCGCUGGGGACAGUGAGGAGGGACCGUGGAGCUGGGUGAGUGUUGUCAAAGAUCUUCACACUAUAAAAACUUCCU